AUUUAAAAAAAUUACUUUUUGGAAAAGCAAUUUCCCAAAUUUGCGCUUGAGUUCCAAAAAAUUACUCAUGGAUUUUUCACAUCAAGUGAACCGAAUUAACUGAACUUUGAUCUAUAAAUUGGUGAUUUUUUCUAUCAAAAUACGACCUAAUCGUUCAGAAUCGCCUAAACACCGAUUUUAGGGCCGUUUUCAACAGAAUCUUUUGAAUUAUGUCAGUUACUGACUAAAAAACGAGUUGCCUAGUUUAGAUUUUGGAACAAUUCAGACCUACAUCAACAAAAUCUUUUUUCUUAAGUAAGUUUUUGGCUCAAAAACGAUAAUUUAAACCAAAAACGCCGAUUUUCGGGCCCAUUUUAUUUGAAUUAAAAUCAUUAUGUAAGUUUCUAAACAAAAAAAACAGAUGAAUCAUUCAAAAUUGCCUGAAAUAUUUUUGUAUUUCAAACACAAAACAUCGAUUUUCAGGAUUACUUAAGAAAAAUCUUUUAAAUUAAAAAAAUGAAUCGCUGAGAAUUGAUUAAAAUCGUCGAAUUCAGGUCUAAAAUAACCUAAAUGAUUUGUUCUCUCAAUUUAAAUGAGUUUUUGGCUUCAAGCUAUGUCGAUUGAAAUUGGCUGAAGAAUCAAAAUUCAGACCUAAAAUGAGGAGCUGGGGCCAAAAAUUAAGUUCUUUUGUUGAAAUAUCAAAAUUUAGACUUAAAACGCCGAUUUUUGGGAAUAUUUCUUGAAUUAAUUAUGUUCUUGCAUAAGGUCGGGACAUAAGGCAAUCAUACAAAGUGUUUUUAAAUGAUUGUCAUCUAGUUAACUUUGAAAUUGGUUUACAUGUAGAAAAGAAUGUGCCACUCUACUCAACUGAAUCCUCUGUCAAUAAAUGUCAAAUCUGUCAGUUGUGAAAUUCAUUUAAUUUCUUUAAAAAAUUUCGUUAAAUUACAAGUAAAUUGUUACACUGUGCAAGUUAACACUUUUAUUAUCGAAGCUUAUUUCCGAAUUCGAGACUUAAUAAAUGGAGAAUGAUAACAUUCGGUGUUACAUGAGAAUCAUUUAAAAACACAUUGUAUAAUUUGACUUUCGAUCAGUUUUUGCUUCUCAACAUUAUCAAAAUAAAAUUCAUUAAUGUAAUAAGUGCUAUUAAUAAAAAUAAGCAUUUACUUAGUGGUAUAAGGUUUUAUUAAAAAUUAAAAAAAAAUGUUGUGCAAUAGCAAAUUUUUAAUUUUGUAUUAGUAAUGAAAUGUUUUUACUUAUAAACAUUUAAAUUGUGGCUAAAUCUUUGUAAACCUAUAACACACACGCUGUUUUUGAAUUUUGAAAUUUCAUGAGUUAAGCUUAUGAAAUGAAUAAAGUAAAAAAUAAAUAAAUAACAGUGAAAUAAAGUUUUUCAGCUAAAAAUUACAUGUAGAUUUGCAAGAUUUCAGUUUCAAGAUGAACAAUUGUGUGCUUUAUUGAAGUAUGUUUCAAAUAGUUUUUCAGUUUAAUAUAUUUAUUUCAGAAAUUGUACAAAAAAAUCUAUUUAAACCUUUAGUGCUUCCAUAAUAGACUACAUGACAUAAAAUCUAUUCUCAAAUACUUUUGUUUUUAUUUUUUUCACAGACUGUAUCACUGCAUUUGCCCUUUUAUUUCCGCUUAAAUUUUAAACUAGAACCAAUGAAAUAAAAAUUGAGACUUCUUUUUUUUUCUGAUAAAAUCAUUGAUUAUGUAACCAAACUUUAUCAUAACAUUGUCAGGAUUAUUCGUUCUUUAAUUGUUUAACUUUUAAGACUUUGUAACGGUCUGAGUGUAAUGUAGUUGUAACCGGGUUCUUGUUCUGAUCUUGGUAGAAUAAAGCAAAAUAAAUCGAAUAAUUUAAUCAAUUUUCGUAUUUUAUACUUUAGAUUGUUUCUUAGAUCUCUUUUACCUAUAAUGCUGCUGUCAUUUAUAAUAAUUUCGAAAACCAUUGAAGUCCAAACCAAUAAACUAAUUUUAAAAACAAAUAAAGUUAAAAUUUUCAUUACUUCAGUAAUCAUUCUUUUUUCGUUUUUGUUUUCAUUUUGUAUUAUUAUUUUUAUUAUUAUCUUUCACAUUUUUUCAAUAGCAUUCAGAACACAUAUCUACUUUUCUUUGAGUGUUACUUAAAAAUUAUAUUAUUUUCUUAUUUCUUUUCACAUUUACCUAUUUCUAGUUUGGUUUUUGUUUGAUUUAUAUUUGAAAAUUUAUGUUUUGUUUUGAUUUGUGGAAGGUUAAUUAGAGUAGUAUUAGCUGGACUUCGCCUCCUCCCGUUUUUCCUUAAAUAAAGGCUUUUACUAUUAUUAUUGUUAUUAUUAUUAUUAGACUGUUCAGGCUCUAAGUUAAAAACCUUGAAUAUAAAAGCUGAAAUUUUUUGAAAGUAUACCUACCUGGGAAAAUUAAUUGGUAAACUAAUGAAAAAAAUUAACAAAGACUACAAUAAAAAAUAAAAUAGAAAAAUGUAACUGGCAUUAAAACAUAAAGCUAUUAAGAGCUUCCGAAAAAAUACUUUUGAAUAUUAUGCAAGGUGAAAAGGGAAAUAAAAGGGAAUUUAAAAAUUCUUAGGAUAUUAAAAAAUAGAAAAUAAUGUGAAUGUCAGGAUUUUUACUACUAAAUAUUUUGAUUUUCCAAAUAACUUUCUUUAUUUUAAAAAACAAAUUCUUACAAAUUGUAUAAAAAAUAUCUCAAAAGAUGUUUUGGCACACCCUGUACAUUAUAUGUGUGUUUCAAGUAAAAGCCGACAAUUGCUAAAACUACUGGGUAUUCUGAGUUUUUCUGUUGCAUAUUUUUCGGAAAAAUAUUUAUAGGCGACUUUGCUGUGAUUUUUCAAAAAUUGGUCUUUUCUAUAACGAAAAGUUGAAUAAUUCCGAAACGAAAAGAGAUAGACCCAUAAUAGCUUAUAUAAAGUUACAUUAUUUUUUUACGUAGAAUCCAAUUAUGCAAAAGAUAUAGGGUGUUUCGUUUAAAAAAAUGUAACUUUGGUUCACCACCCUGUAUACAACACCCUGUGUACAAUAAAAAUAUUUUUAGUUUGUGGACUCUAAGUUGAUCUAUCGGAUAGUAAAAACGACCAAUUACCUACCCCUGGAUCACCCUGUAUUUAAAGAAUUACAUAAAAAAACGCAACUAAAAGCAAAUGCUUAUUUUUAUUAAUAAUAAUAAUAAUAAUAAUAAUGUUUAUUAAUGUUUAAAGACUACACUGGUCAUAACACAAGUCAAUAAGAGGGCUUACCAAGAACAUAAAUGACAUCAUCAUACAUAAUAUAUAUAUACAAAGUUAAUACAUAACAUCACAUUUAAAAUCAUUAAAAUACUCAUCAUCUGAGUAAAAAGCUUUUUUACAGAGGUAUCUUUUUAUAACCUUUUUAAAUUUAUUUGUCUUUAGCUUAGCAAUAUCAUCAGGCAACGCAUUAAAAAAUUUUAUUCCUAGGUUUCCGGUGCCGUUUUCGGAGCUUUUUAAGCGAACACUGUGUAGGCAAAUUUUAUCUCUGUGACGUGUACUAUAUUCGUGAAUGUUACUAUGUGAUUUAAAAUUCUCUAUGUUAGAUUUUAUAUAAUUUAAACACUGAUAAAUAUACAUACAAGGAACAACCUCCUACUAUACGGAUAGCUCGACGUUGUAAACUGAAAAUUGUAGAAAUGGAAGCAGAAUGACCCCAUACUAAUAGUCCAUAACUGAUGUGACACUGGCAUAAUGAAUAAAAUGCAGUUUUUAGAGUUUCAGGAGGAACUUGAUCUUUUAAAUUGCGAAGUGCAAAAAUACCACUACAAAGUAAUUUUGCAACCUUUUCUGAAUGUGUAUUAAACCUCAAUGAGGAGUCAAGAAAGAUUCCUAAAAAUUUUGUAGAUCCUUCCACAAAAUCUAUUUUUUUCUUUAAUGAAAAAACCAA